UACGGAGGGUGCAAGCGUUAAUCGGAAUUACUGGGCGUAAAGCGCACGCAGGCGGUUUGUUAAGUCAGAUGUGAAAACCCCAGGCUCAACCUGGGAACUGCAGUUGAAACUAGCAAGCUAGAGUCUCGUAGAGGGGGGUAGAAUUCCAGGUGUAGCGGUGAAAUGCGUAGAGAUCUGGAGGAAUACCGGUGGCGAAGGCGGGCCCCUGGACGAAGACUGACGCUCAGGUGCGAAAGCGUGGGGAGCAAACAGG
rnacentral:rRNA from 1 species